rnacentral:rRNA from 1 species
GACAGAGGUGCCAAGCGUUAGGCGGAAUCACUGGGCUUAAAGCGUGUGUAGGCGGAUCGUUAAGUGCCUUGUGAAAUCCCAUGGCUUAACCAUGGAACUGCUCGGCAUACUGGCGGUCUUGAGCCAUCUAGGGGCUAACGGAACAAAUGGUGGAGCGGUGAAAUGCGUAGAUAUCAUUUGGAACGCCAAUGGUGAAAACAGGUAGCUGGGGAUGUGCUGACGCUGAGACACGAAAGCCAGGGGAGCGAACGGG